rnacentral:rRNA from 1 species
AUUGAACGCUGGCGGCAUGCUUUACACAUGCAAGUCGAACGGCAGCACGGGUGCUUGCACCUGGUGGCGAGUGGCGGACGGGUGAGUAAUACAUCGGAACGUGUCCAGAAGAGGGGGAUAACGCAUCGAAAGAUGUGCUAAUACCGCAUAUGCUCUGAGGAGGAAAGUAGGGGAUCGAAAGACCUUACGCUUUUGGAGCGGCCGAUGUCUGAUUAGCUAGUUGGUGGGGUAAGGGCCUACCAAGGCGACGAUCAGUAGUUGGUCUGAGAGGACGACCAGCCACACUGGGACUGAGACACGGCCCAGACUCCUACGGGAGGCAGCAGUGGGGAAUUUUGGACAAUGGGCGCAAGCCUGAUCCAGCAAUGCCGCGUGAGUGAAGAAGGCCUUCGGUUG